rnacentral:ncRNA from 2 species
GGACAGGCCUCUGGAGAGACUCGUCUGAGCACCGAAGGGGAAAGCCAUAAAAUAUGGUGAAACUCUCAGGUAAAAGGACAGGGGAUUUGGA